rnacentral:tRNA from 1 species
ACGACCAUAGCUCGACUGGGAAAAGCCCCAGAGUAUCAAUCUGGAGGUCUCAGGUUCGAAUCCUGCGGGUAGUC